UCCAUCUGGCACAAUGUAUAAUUCCAUCCUGCCAGGCAAGGCUCCACCUUGCCAGUGGUCUAUCCGGCAGCUUUAUAAGCAACCAAAAUUUCGUUUUCUGAGAGGGCAUGGGACCAAGCUGAGGUCGCCGUUGCAUUUUGAUCCUUACAAUUG